UCUUACCCACCAAUUGAAGCACCUUCAUUGAAGAAAAUCCAUAAUAGACCCACUGUAAAGAGAAAGCCAUCUCUAGGGGAGGUUGAUGGUUGUAAGCUGUCAAGGAAAGGUCAAAUAAACAAAUGCAGCAAUUGUGGGGAGGUGGGGCACAACAAAAGAAAAUGUGUUGCCCCGGCAAAGCAACCAGGUUGCAUAAAAGUUCUCAAGAAACCUAUAACAACACCCAGGAAGAAAAAGAAGCAACAGAAUUGUGUCUCAACAACACUAGUGAAGCCUUCAACACAACAAACCCAAUGCUCAAUUGCUCCACACAACAAAGGUGUUGGAGUGUACACUUAUCCAAGUGGUUUUCAGAGGCAAGCAGAGUUCAUCAAUACCGUUGGGAGUCAAUCAACCAAAGCAUCAAACUCAACACAAUUGGAUCAAAUGGGUUAAUUAUACAAGAGACCAACACAAUUGUUCUACCUUGACUAAGACAAGGAUGGAAGAUAGAAGAUGGAAGAAGAUAAUUUGAAAUAAGAAGAGCUUGAGUAGAAGAACUUUUUGUUGAAAGAGAGAUGUUAUAAACUCUGUUUAUGUUUAAAGAGCUUUUAUAAUGACCUUACAUCAAGCUCUCUGCUUCAAACUGUUGUUUUUGAUUUGCAAUUUAUUUUUCCUUUUUUUUUACUGUACUUCAAAUGCUCAGGUGGGUUAUACAGUAGUUAAGUUGCCGAAAAACUAAUCACAAGUCCUAAAAGGUGAAGAAAAAAAGAAUAGUCCCUUAAAGGUGAAA